UCUCACCCUAAUCUAAUAAGGCUUUUAUAUCUGGAGCUCAUAGGUGGGAGAUAAAGUAUACAUACUUACAAGACAUUUAUUGCAUAGUCAAACUAUGGAUCCAGAGAAACAAGUCAAUAAGUCAAAUCAUGAUGUGCAUGUGUGGCGAAUGAAUGGUGUAUGGUGAUGAUGGUGAUAACAAUGGUGAAAGUCUAAUUCUACUUGUUGCUCUUUUGAGGGGAUACAUUACCUUUCUUGCUCUUUGAAACUUUUUGAGGAGAAUGAGGUGCUCUCUAUUUUCCUUUUCUUUCCUCUCAAGUGGGUAUCUUGUACCCCUAAUUCUACUGUCGGACACUUGUCCAUUUUUACCUCUCGUCUCACUUUUUCUUUUCUUUGAGGUUCCAAGCACUUGCCCCUUUUUAUUUCCUCGUAUCUUUUUUUCUUCUCUCUUUUUUUAAAGCACUCAUCUCCUGAAAUAAUGUAGCCAGUGGUAGUAACCAAGAUAACUUGAGCAUUUAUUUCAUAGUGGAAAAACAGAAAUGUUUUUUGCUAUUCUCUCCCGGAUUAGGAGUAGAAUAUUUUUGAGUGGUUCUGGAGAUGUAAAUGUGUGGAUAUAUGUGGAUGCAUACUCCCGGAGUAGAAGCAGCAUGUGUGAGUGAACGUGCAAGUGAAUCUUGAUUUAACCACAUGACAAGCUCCUAAGGGUCUACAC
rnacentral:lncRNA from 1 species